GUUUCCUGGGAAACGAAAAGGGAAGAAUAAAAAAAUAAAUGCCUUGAUAUCCACUGUUAUUAUCUUUUAUUUGUUACUUAUAUAACAGAAGAAUUUUUUUUAAAAAAACCUCCUUGGUACACACUGUUAUUAUCUUUUAUUUGUUAGAUACAUUAAUAUUUAAACCACAUUUAGUAUUUUUCCUAUAAAUUUAUUCACCUUGGCUAUAUUCAGUUCAAAUGGAAGAAUACAGUAAGUACAACAGAUUAUUUACAACAGUAUGAAACACAUUAUUGUUUAUUACAACUGUAAAUUAGAGCCUUAUUGCACAACCAAUUCUAUGAUUCUAUGAAAGAGUAAACAGAGCCAAAGACUAAGGGCUUUCUCUGUGCCUUAUCGUAUGACAUCAUAGCACUUCAGUUCCCUUCCUGCAUCAGUUGGUUAUAAAAGUGCAUCUUUUUUACAGUUGAAAAAUCCGUUUGACAAAAGACAUGUUUUCACAACUGGCUCAUACGGGAAGAAAACUGAAGCGCUAGAAUGUUAUGUGUAAGAUGUAAUACUGAAUUGCCAUGGCGAUCCAAGAGGGUCACAUCUGCCCCAGUACUGAGAUCUUAUGCAUUUCCUCACCAGGGUGUUCCAGUAUGGAGGGGCCUACAGUCUUUGGCUGGACUUGCUAGCAAAACCAACCCCCCCCCCCCGGUUCCUCUCUACUACUGGUGUGAAUGAGGCAACAUACAGAAGAAAGAUUGAUUCUGCAAAGGCUUCUGUAAAGAUAAGAGUCAUGCAAGCUUUGACUCACGCUGACCAGUAACCUACCUCUCCCUAUUGCACGAAACACAAGCAAGGAUUGGGCUUCAACCAAUGCAAUGACUCUCAGAGAGUCAUCACUGAGUGGCACCCAAAAAACUUUCAUCCCAACUGCUAUGCCCUGAAGCAGGAAAUGAUGGAGCACUUGAUAGUCCUAUGGUAUGAAAGAAUGGAGCCUCUUCAUCUUCUGGAUUCUAUUAUGUAGUCUGACUUCUAUGUUGGUCAUCAGGAUUCUAGCCAUGAACACAAAUGCUGUUGGUGCAGCCUGCCAGCAAAAUUAUACUUGUGUAACAGACAGAAGGCUGGAGGAAAAAGGCCAGGAUGCAAUAGUUCUAAAUGAUGCUGGUGAACUACUAUUCACAUCAACCCUCACUAUGGUAUAAAUUGGACGGGGAUGACUGAAACUGCAGUCCCCAAAUCAUCUGAUGGGCCACAGGUUUUCCAGCCCUGUUGCACAUCUUCAAGCUACUCUUGGAUGGGGAACCAAAAACUCUUCGUUCUCAGAUUUUUUUUAAAGACUUCCAUAGCUGCAGUGAACAGAAAACUGCUAUGCCUCCUUACAUUUGCCAAUUGGAAAAAGUUGCAUGCAGCAAUAAGAAACUUUUGAAGUUACAGCUUCCAAAAACUAAAGCCCCUUGCAGUGUCUUGCAAACUGCACAGGGAGGACUCAGGGGAAGGAAAGACACAGCUGUGUUUACAUGUUGUAAUAGUGAUUAAUGCUAGGUUGGUCAUUAUCAUGUAAAAGUGCCUAUAAAAAAAUCUUGGUUCAAAAUACAAUUCUUUGCCUUUAUGUAGUUUCUGACUUAUGACAACCCUAAGAUGAACAUAUCACAGAGUUUUCUUGGCCACAUUUGUU